AAGGAGGUGCAAGGGUUGGGAGUGCAGGAGCUGUGGGGAAAGGGGGAGGGGGAUCGUCCAGGGGCGAUGGGGAAGUGCUAAAGUACAAGUUUUGCCCAGGGCACCAUUUCCCCUAACACUGAUCCUUGAUAACAUUUCUUGCUGGGAGGGGGAGGGGAGAGAGAUGAGGCGUUUUCUCUCUGUUUCUUUCCUCUCCAUUUUCUGCUCCUUCCUUCAAUUCCAGAAACCUCCCUUGUGUUUCAGACUGUGCAGUGACGCCCUCCCUACCCCAGGCCUCUGUAGCCUUUGGAGCAGAAAGAUCCCAGGAGCUGAGGAGGAAUGCAGGGAUGCAUUCAAAUGGCAGCUGUUUACAGGUCAUGGGCUGCUAGUUCAUGAGCAGGAGCAGAGUCUCUGUAAGUUUACCAACCAUAGAGCUUGUUAUGUCUGCAUCUAAGUAAGUGCAGAGUUAUUUCAAUGGCUCCUACACUGACAUCUCCUGCCCCUUCUGGCUGGUUAAUUGCACUAUUUGGAACCUGCUCCUAAAAUUGCACCCUUUCUGGGAGUGAGUCAAAACUGCCCAAGGAAACCCCAUUGGGUUUCAAGGGCAGCUCAAGCAAGGAGGUGAUGGGACAGCACAGGGGUCUCAGAGCUUCUCUUUCAUAGCAAGCCCAGAGGCUGCUAUUAGCAUGACUGUGGGGUUCUAUUCCUGGCUGUAGGAGGAAAGGGGUGUCUAGUGGAUUAGAGGUGGGGGCCUAGAAGUCAAAGAGAAAACAUCUCCCUUUUCAGCUUCAAUGCUCAUUGAACAAGAACAUGGCUUCUCAGGUUUCAGAAGAGCAGUUGUGUUAGUCUGUUUCCUCAAAAAGAACAGGAGUAGGUGUGGCACCCUAGAGACUAACAAAUUUCUUAGAUUCUGUUGCCAUCAUGUGGCCAUUUCAUUUCACUUCUUAUUGUUAAAAGGUUUGGGUACUUCACACAGAAACGUUAUUUCCUUGGGAAAGACGGAGAAGUGGAAGCUGCAUUGAUUUAAUCCUCUGAAAAUUAAAUAAGGAUUAAAAUAUUCCCCAGACAGCUCAGUCCCAACCGUUCUCCCUCACUGCUGCCAGUGAAGCUCAGUUCUGUCCCACGGCCCCAAGAACUGCUGGGUGAAAGUCCUGGGUCUGAUGUGCAGUAAGAAAAAAAAAA